GAUACACUGUUGCUGUUCAGAGACUCAACCCUCUUCAACAUGAACAAAGCUCUGGUCUGUGCUGUCUUCAUCUUGCUGGUGCUGUCUGUGUUCACAGAGGCCAUGGAGGGGAAUCCUUUAAACCCAAAUGGCAAGGUGAAUGCAACCAGCGCCACAGGCAAGGCAUCCGGGACAAGCACCUUGACACUUCCGUUUUUGCUGCAGUUGGGGCUGAUGGUUGCACCUGCCUUACUUCAAACUCUGCUGUAGCACUUGCUACACUCUGCGGAACGUCUGCAAGAACGGGGGCAACAACAUAGCAAUAGCUUCAAUGACUAGGCCUACUAUAUUUACCGGUACUGUAGACCCUAGCUGACCCAUUUCCAUGAUUGAACACCGUGAAAUUCUUAACCCAAAUGAUCUUGUAAUAACCAUACAGAUACAGAAAUAAAUGUGUGUAUCUACA